rnacentral:rRNA from 1 species
CAUUAUUGAACAAAAAAUGGGUAGCAAAGGGGGUUGUAGCUGGCUCAGAUGAGUAUGUGCACACCUUUUUGCUGCUUUAUUUCAUUCAUGUUUUCCUCCUGUGCAUUUAUUGUAGAUGUUUGGGAAAAUGAGAGGUUACUGACCUCUUGGAUAAGUCCAGAUGUCUAUGUAUUUUAUUUACAUAUACGUGUGUAAUGAAUGUUGAAUGAGCUUUGUUUUUAAAAAGCUUUUUAAAUUUAAAUGAUAAAAUACAACUUUCAACAACGGAUCUCUUGGCUCUCGCAUCGAUGAAGAACGCAGCGAAAUGCGAUAAGUAAUGUGAAUUGCAGAAUUCAGUGAAUCAUCGAAUCUUUGAACGCAUCUUGCGCUCCUUGGUAUUCCGAGGAGCAUGCCUGUUUGAGUGUCAUUUAAGUAUCUCAGAAGUUCUGGUGUUUAUAGCAUUUUAAAACUUAUGGAAUUGGGAGCUGCUGGUCACUAAUAAAAAAAAAGUGGUGGGCUCUCCUGAAAAGAAUUUAGUGGAGGAAGUUUGCACUCUAUUGGUGUGAUAGACUAUCUAAGCCAUAAGAUGCAUUUAUAAUCCUUUACAAUGUUAAUUGUUCUGAAUGUGGGACAAUAUGACAGACUUGACCUCAAAUCAGGUAGGACUACCCGCUGAACUUAAGCAUAUCAAUAAGCGGAGGAAAAGAAACUAACAAGGAUUCCCUUAGUAACUGCGAGUGAAGAGGGAAAAGCUCAAAUUUAAAAUCUGGCAGUUUGGACUGUCCGANUUGUAGCCUAGAGAAGUGUAACCUGUGCUGGANCAUGUACAAGUCUCCUGGA